UGAGUGGCGGACGGGUGAGUAACGCGUGGGCAACCUGGCCUGUACAGGGGAUAACACUUAGGAAAUAGGUGCUAAUACCGCAUAACGGGGGAGGCCGCAUGGCUUUUUCCUGAAAACUCCGGUGGUACAGGAUGGGCCCGCGUCUGAUUAGCCAGUUGGCAGGGUAACGGCCUACCAAAGCGACGAUCAGUAGCCGGCCUGAGAGGGCGGACGGCCACACUGGGACUGAGACACGGCCCAGACUCCUACGGGAGGCAGCAG
rnacentral:rRNA from 1 species